rnacentral:rRNA from 1 species
GACAGAGGGUGCAAACGUUUAUCCGGAAUUAUUGGGCGUAAAGAGCUCGUAGGCGGUUUGUCGCGUCUGCCGUGAAAAGUCCGGGGGCUCAACUCCGGAUCUGCGGUGGGUACGGGGCAGACUAGAGUGAUGUAGGGGGAGACUGGAAUUCCUGGUGUAGCGGUGAAAAUGCGCAGAUAUCAGGAGGAACACCGAUGGCGAAGGCAGGUCUCUGGGCAUUAACUGACGCUGAGGAGCGAAAAGCAUGGGGGAGCGAACAGGAUUAGAUA